AAGAAAUCAUAACUAAGAAGAGUAGUCAAAGAAUGCGAUGUUGUAGAGAGUCUGCGUUUGGUGAGAAGCAGAUACAUCCGCUUUGGUGAAUGGGCUUGGUAGAAGAAUCCUUGAAAGAAAAGUAGGGGAUUUCCGGGAACUCCCGUUAUAGAGAAAGAUUGUUGAUAGACAGUCGAUAGAGAUCAUAAGAGCCUUUUGGUUGUUAUGAAUUGAGGUGGUACCGCGUAUUUUCGCCCUCAAA
rnacentral:ncRNA from 1 species